rnacentral:misc_RNA from 1 species
GAUGAAGAACGUAGUAAAAUGCGAUAAGUAAUGUGAAUUGCAGAAUUCAGUGAAUCAUCGAAUCUUUGAACGCACAUUGCGCCCGCUGGUAUUCCGGCGGGCAUGCCUGUUCGAGCGUCAUUUCAACCCUCAAGCCCCCCGGGUUUGGUGUUGGGGAUCGGCUCUGCCUCACGGCGGUGCCGCCCCCGAAAUACAUUGGCGGUCUCGCUGCAGCCUCCAUUGCGUAGUAGCUAACACCUCGCAACUGGAACGCGGCGCGGCCAUACCGUAAAACCCCAACUUCUGAAUGUUGACCUCGGAUCAGGUAGGAAUACCCGCUGAACUUAAGCAUAUCAAUAAGCGGAGGA